GAUGAACGCUAGUGGCAGGCCUAACACAUGCAAGUCGAGGGAGAAGCCUUUCGGGGCAGAAACCGGCGCACGGGUGCGUAACGCGUAUGCAACCUACCUUUCACAGGGGGAUAGCCCGAAGAAAUUUGGAUUAAUACCCCAUAAUAUUGCGAGAUGGCAUCAUUUAGCAAUUAAAACUGCGGUGGUGAGAGAUGGGCAUGCGUCCUAUUAGCUAGUUGGAGUGGUAACGGCACCCCAAGGCUACGAUAGGUAGGGGUCCUGAGAGGGAGAUCCCCCACACUGGUACUGAGACAGGGACCAGACUCCUACGGGAGGCAGCAGUGAGGAAUAUUGGUCAAUGGACGGAAGACUGAACCAGCCAUGCCGCGUGCAGGAAGAAUGCCUUAUGGGUUGUAAACUGCUUUUAUAUGGGAAGAAUAAGGUGUACGAGUACAUUGANGACGGUNCCA
rnacentral:rRNA from 1 species